GCUUAGCCUUAAACAUAGAUAAUAUAACACAAUAUUACCCGCCAGAGGACUACAAGCGAAAAGCCAGAAACUCCAAGGACUUGGCGGUGCUUCAAAUCAACCUAGAGGAGCCUGUCCUAUAAUCGAUACCCCACGUUUUACCCCACCCCCACUUGACAUCCAGCCUAUAUACCGCCGUCGAAAGCCUACCUUAUGAAAGAAACAAAGUAAGCAAAAUAGUUAUUAACUAACACGUCAGGUCAAGGUGUAGCACAUGAGGGGGCAGAGAUGGGCUACAUUUUCUAAACGAACACACGAACAACGCACUGAAAUUUGUAUUUAAAGGCGGAUUUAGUAGUUAGACAAGAAAGAAAGCUUGUCUUAAACCUGCUCUGAAGCACGCACACACCGCCCG
rnacentral:rRNA from 1 species